rnacentral:tRNA from 1 species
GCCGAGGUGGCGGAAUGGCAGACGCACGAGACUUAAAAUCUCGCGGUAGCAAUACCGUGCGGGUUCGAUCCCCGCCCUCGGCA